UGCAGCAACGCCGCGUGAGGGACGACGGCCAUCGGGUUGUAAACCUCUUUUGGCAGGGAAGAAGCGAAAGUGACGGUACCUGCAGAAAAAGCACCGGCUAACUACGUGCCAGCAGCCGCGGUAAUACGUAGGGUGCAAGCGUUGUCCGGAAUUAUUGGGCGUAAAGAGCUCGUAGGCGGUUUGUCGCGUCUGCUGUGAAAACGCGAGGCUCAACCUCGCGCCUGCAGUGGGUACGGGCAGACUAGAGUGCGGUAGGGGAGAUUGGAAUUCCUGGUGUAGCGGUGGAAUGCGCAGAUAUCAGGAGGAACACCGAUGGCGAAGGCAGAUCUCUGGGCCGUUACUGACGCUGAGGAGCGAAAGCGUGGGGAGCGAACAGGAUUAGAUACCCUGGUAGUCCACGCCGUAAACGUUGGGAACUAGAUGUGGGGUCCAUUCCACGGAUUCCGUGUCGCAGCUAACGCAUUAAGUUCCCCGCCUGGGGAGUACGGCCGCAAGGCUAAAACUCAAAGGAAUUGACGGGGGCCCGCACAAGCGGCGGAGCAUGCGGAUUAAUUCGAUGCAACGCGAAGAACCUUACCAAGGCUUGACAUGCACCUGAAAAGGCUGGAAACAGUCUCCUCGCAAGAC
rnacentral:rRNA from 1 species